rnacentral:lncRNA from 1 species
GAGAACCAAGCUGAGUCGCAGCCUUCAUCCUCUCCAGCUUCCUGACUGCAGCUGCCCUGUGACCAGCUGCUGUGGGCUCCAGCUGCCCUGUGACCAGCUGCUGUGGGCUCCAGCUGCCCUGUGACCAGCUGCUGUGGGCUCCAGCUGCCCUGUAACCAGCUGCUGUGGGCUCCAGCUGCCCUGAGACCAGCUGCUGUGAGCUCCAGCUGCUAUGCCUUCCUCUAUGAUAGGCUGCACCCUCACACUGUGAGCUAGAAACACGGGCUUCCGGGGGUUAGAGAGAAGGCUCCGCAGUUAAGAGGAUGUGUUAUUCCUGCAGAGGCCCUGAGUAUGACCCCCAACGCCCCCAGCCAACAAUCAGUUCGCAGAUACCUGCAUCCCCAGCGCCAGAAGACUUGACAUGCCUCUGGCCUCCUGAAGCGCCUGCCUGUUCACGGACACGUGCUCACACAUGUACACGGACUCUCGUGCACACACAAAUGGAUGAUAGCAAGGUCUUAGACAGAAUGUCUCCACUAAGAAGAACCAGAAACAAGCCUGGAAACAGGUGGAUUUGAACCAACGUGACCCCACAUCACAUGGGCUGUCUGACUCUCUGAGCUUCCACUCACAGCCUAAUUGUCCCUUGGAGGACAGAGCUGUCAGUGUGAAUUGGUCUGGUUUAUCCGAAAACUAUGUUCUGGUUGGUCCACCCACAUCCACCAUUGCCAGGUUAGUACAUACAUUUUAAUAAGCAGAAUAUAGGUGUGUGUGUGUGUGUGUGUGU